GACGAACGCUGGCGGCGUGCUUAACACAUGCAAGUCGAGCGGUAAGGCCCUUUCGGGGGUACACGAGCGGCGAACGGGUGAGUAACACGUGGGUGACCUGCCCUCAGCUCUGGGAUAAGCCUGGGAAACUGGGUCUAAUACUGGAUAUGACUCCACGGUGCAUGUCGUGGGGUGGAAAGCCUUGUGCGGCUGAGGAUGGGCCCGCGGCCUAUCAGCUUGUUGGUGGGGUGANGGCCUACCAAGGCGACGACGGGUAGCCGGCCUGAGAGGGCGACCGGCCACACUGGGACUGAGACACGGCCCAGACUCCUACGGGAGGCAGCAGUGGGGAAUCUUGCGCAAUGGGCGAAAGCCUGACGCAGCGACGCCGCGUGAGGGAUGACGG
rnacentral:rRNA from 1 species